AACCAUUCUCACCUGCGGCUAGACCUGCGGAGGGAUCAUUAUCGAGUUUUGACUGGGGUUGUAGCUGGCCUCCCGAGGCAUGUGCACGCCCUGCUCAUCCACUCUACACCUGUGCACUUACUGUGGGCUUCAGACGUCGUGAAGCGGGCUCUUUACGGAGCUUGUAGAGCGUGUCUGUGCCUGCGUUUACCACAAACACUAUAAAGUAUUAGAAUGUGUAUUGCGAUGUAACGCAUCUAU
rnacentral:misc_RNA from 1 species